GUGCCAGCCGCCGCGGUAAUACGUAGGGGGCGAGCGUUGUCCGGAAUCAUUGGGCGUAAAGCGCGUGUAGGCGGCUUGGUAAGUCUGGUGUGAAACCUUGGGGCUUAACCCCAAGCCUGCACUGGAUACUGCCAAGCUUGAGUCCGGGAGGGGAGAGCGGAAUUCCUAGUGUAGCGGUGAAAUGCGCAGAUAUUAGGAAGAACACCGGUGGCGAAGGCGGCUCUCUGGAACGGUACUGACGCUGAGACGCGAAAGCGUGGGGAGCGAACAGGAUUAGAAACCCGCGUAGUCC
rnacentral:rRNA from 1 species